UGCCUCGUGGUCUAAUGGUACGACAUCGCCAGUCGUAAGUAGUUGGAGGCCAGGCGAAGAUUGCAUGGUUCGAUUCCUGCCGAGGCUU